rnacentral:rRNA from 1 species
AUGCGCACUGGGUUCUCUUUGGUGGAACUUGAGCGUCUCAGUAGACACUUGUUUGCGUGGCACUGGCUACCUUCUAGUGGAGUGACCGGUCACUCUGGUGGCAUCCUUCUAGGCGUGAAGGAUGCCACCUUUGAGGUGGGAUCCAUGGAUCGUGGAUCCCACUUCGUCAGCAUGGAGGUUUGGGAAUGUGAUGUGAAUUUCAAGUGGGAGAUCAUUGUAGUUUACGGUCCGUCCGACCAUAGUUGCUCGGCCUCGUUCUUGGCUGAGCUUCACGCCAAGAUCUCUGACGCAACUCUGCCGGUAGUAGUUGGAGGCGAUUUCAACCUCCUCCGCUUUGCGGAGGAGAAGAGCAAUGCACGUAUCGACCUUGCUGAGAUGCGUCGGUUCAACGACUGGGUUGCUGACCUAGGGCUCCUUGAAUUGGACAGGGUCGGGGCGAGAUUUACCUGGACUAACCGCCAGGUGUCCCCGACCCUUAGUGUGCUGGACCGGGUGUUUGUCUCCCCCGACUGGGAGCUUCGGUUCCCCUUGGCGUCCCUUCAGGCUAUUACCCGUAUUGGAUCUGACCACGUGCCUCUUCUCUUGUCCUCUCGGGAUGAGCGCCCCCUUCCUCCCCCUCGAUUCCGUUUCGAGGCGUUUUGGCUCCGGUAG